UACGGAGGAUCCGAGCGUUAUCCGGAUUUAUUGGGUUUAAAGGGAGCGUAGGUGGAUUGUUAAGUCAGUUGUGAAAGUUUGCGGCUCAACCGUAAAAUUGCAGUUGAAACUGGCUGUCUUGAGUACAGUAGAGGUGGGCGGAAUUCGUGGUGUAGCGGUGAAAUGCUUAGAUAUCACGAAGAACUCCGAUUGCGAAGGCAGCUCACUGGACUGCAACUGACACUGAGGCUCGAAAGUGUGGGUAUCAAACAGG
rnacentral:rRNA from 1 species